ACUCCUGGAGGCAGCAGUGGGGAAUCUUGCGCAAUGGACGAAAGUCUGACGCAGCCACGCCGCGUGAGUGAAGAAGGCCUUCGGGUUGUAAAGCUCUGUCGGGCGGGACGAACAGUUCUGAGGUGAAUAGCCUCAGGGCCUGACGGUACCGCUAGAGGAAGCACCGGCUAACUCCGUGCCAGCAGCCGCGGUAAU
rnacentral:rRNA from 1 species